UGAAAUAUGAGGUUGCUGGAACUGUGUAACUGUAUUUACAUGUACAUGUGACAUCUACGAGGACGUGGAAGAUCAGUUAAUGCGAGGAUUCUUUGAGUUUUGUAUGAGCACAGUCUUGACAAAUGCGAUAAACCAACCAGAACGAUGGAUUAAAAAGACUUAGAAGACUCGAUUUCAAAUAACAACUAUUCUUUCCAAUUAUUUUCUCCCUGAAAUUCGAAACUAAUGAAACUUACGCAAUGUAAUUUACCGUUCGAAAGCCAAUGUAAAAUUCCAGUCACGAUAUCUCAUCGAUUUCCUAUGUUAGUGCGUGUCGCGACCAUCCACCAGGCACCGCCAAACGAGUUUUUAUACUACGUUACCAUUAAGAACGUCGCUGAGACCGAUGGACCCUAGUCGAUGACCAGGUUGUCUGCAGAAGGCGAUUGGUUCUCGCUGAGCUCCUCCCAGAAUCCAUUAAGAGCCGAAACGGAGAAACACAGCAUUAAUUUUAAAACCAAUCCCUGAGGAGAAAUCGGGCAUUGGCCGCCAUUCGUGCGAGCUGCCGCUGGAGAAAAUCCAUCGAAAAAAAGGCUUCUUAAUUACUUCACCGCUUGUUCCCCUCUGCGAAGCAUCGGAAACACGCGAGAUGACUCGCCUCCGGGA